GUACGCUGGCGGCACGCCUAACACAUGCAAGUCGAACGAAGUAGCAAUACUUAGUGGCAGACGGGUGAGUAACAUGUAGGUAUCUGCCCUUUGGCCUGGAAUAACACGAGGAAACUUGUGCUAAUACCGGAUAAGUCUUUACGGAGAAAGCUUUAUGCACCAUUGGAUGAGCCUGCACUUGAUUAGUUUGUUGGUGGGGUAAUGGCCUACCAAGACUGUGAUCAAUAGCUGAUUUGAGAGGAUGAUCAGCCACAUUGGGACUGAGACACGGCCCAAACUCCUACGGGAGGCAGCAGUGGGGAAUCUUGCACAAUGGAGGAAACUCUGAUGCAGCGAUGCCGCGUGAGUGAAGAAGGCCUUUGGGUUGUAAAGCUCUUUCGUCGGGGAAGAAAAUG
rnacentral:rRNA from 1 species